UGGGGAAUAUUGGACAAUGGGGGAAACCCUGAUCCAGCAAUGCCGCGUGUGUGAAGAAGGCCUGAGGGUUGUAAAGCACUUUUAGAGGGAAAGAAAUCUUCAAUGCUAAUACCAUUGAAGCUUGACGUUACCCUAAGAAAAAGCACCGGCUAACUCUGUGCCAGCAGCCGCGGUAAUACAGAGGGUGCAAGCGUUAAUCGGAAUUACUGGGCGUAAAGCGCACGUAGGUGGUCCCGCAAGUCAGAUGUGAAAGCCCCAGGCUUAACCUGGGAACUGCAUUUGAUACUGCGAGACUAGAGUAGGAUAGAGGAAGGCGGAAUUUCCGGUGUAGCGGUGAAAUGCGUAGAGAUCGGAAGGAACACCAGUGGCGAAGGCGGCUUUCUGGAUUCAUACUGACACUGAGGUGCGAAAGCGUGGGGAGCAAACAGG
rnacentral:rRNA from 1 species